CGCAGGGAGCAACCAAGCCAAAAAAGAGUGAACCGGCAGCGCCUGCAAGAGCGCGGCCGGUAAAU
rfam:Leclercia adecarboxylata strain I1 Leclercia_S84_R1__paired__contig_3, whole genome shotgun sequence.